CCGACUAGUGUUGCAAAAUUAGCGGAUGAGCUGUGGAUAGGGGUGAAAGGCUAAACAAAUCUGGAGAUAGCUGGUUCUCCCCGAAAACUAUUGAGGUAGUGCCUCGUGUAUGGCUCCAGGGGGUAGAGCACUGUUAUGGCUAGGGGGACAUGGCGUCUUACCAAACCAUGGCAAACUCCGAAUACUUGGAAGUUUGAGCACGGGAGACAGAGCACCGGGUGCUAACGUCCGGACUCAAAAGGGAAACAACCCAGACCGCCGGCUAAGGUCCCUAAUAUUGACUAAGUGGAAAACGAAGUGGGAAGGCUAAGACAGUCAGGAAGUUGGCUUAGAAGCAGCCAUCCUUCAAAGAAAGCGUAAUAGCUCACUGAUCGAGUCUUCCUGCGCGGAAGAUGUAACGGGGCUAAGUCAAUAACCGAAGCCGCGGAUUCACACUUGUGUGUGAGUGGUAGGGGAGCGUUCUGUAAGCCUGCGAAGGUGACUCGUAAGGGUUGCUGGAGGUAUCAGAAGUGCGAAUGCUGACAUGAGUAACGUUAAAGCGGGUGAAAAGCCCGCUCGCCGCAAGCCCAAGGUUUCCUGCUCUACGUUCAUCGGAGCAGGGUGAGUCGGCCCCUAAGGUCAGGCUGAGAAGCGUAGCUGAUGGGAAGCUGGUUAAUAUUCCAGCACCGAUUUCAAGUGCGAAGGGGGGACGGAGUCCUGAAGGUCAUCCGGGUGUUGGACAUCCCGGUUUACGAGCGUAGGAGGUUGACAGGCAAAUCCGUCAACGGAUCUCCAAGGCGAAGGAUCGAGGUUGAGAGAUCAACUGAAGUGACUGAAUGGGCUUCCAGGAAAAGCCUCUAAGCAUCAGCUUGGAAUUGACCGUACCGCAAACCGACACUGGUGGGCGAGCUGAAUAUGCUCAGGCGCUUGAGAGAACUCAGGAGAAGGAACUCGGCAAAUUGACACCGUAACUUCGGGAUAAGGUGUGCCUUUGUAGUGUGAAGAGAGAAACACUCCGAGCAUGAAGAGGCCUCAGAGAAUCGGUGGCUGCAACUGUUUACUAAAAACACAGCACUCUGCAAAGAUGAAAGUCGACGUAUAGGGUGUGAUGCCUGCCCGGUGCUGGAAGAUUAAUUGAUGGGGUGCAAGCUCCUGAUCGAAGUCCCAGUAAACGGCGGCCGUAACUAUAACGGUCCUAAGGUAGCGAAAUUCCUUGUCGGGCAAGUUCCGACCUGCACGAAUGGCAUAAUGAUGGCCACACUGUCUCCUCCUGAGACUCAGUGAAGUUGAAAUGUUUGUGAUGAUGCAAUCUCCCCGCGGCUAGACGGAAAGACCCCAUGAACCUUUACUGCAGCUUUGCAUUGGACUUUGAACCGAUCUGUGUAGGAUAGGUGGGAGGCAGUGAAGCUAGGACGCCAGUCUUAGCGGAGCCAACCUUGAAAUACCACCCUGAUUUGUUUGAGGUUCUAACCUAGGAGCGUAAUCCGCUUCGGGGACCGUGCAUGGCAGGCAGUUUGACUGGGGCGGUCUCCUCCUAAAGGGUAACGGAGGAGUGCGAAGGUACGCUAGGUACGGUCGGAAAUCGUGCUGAUAGUGCAAUGGCAAAAGCGUGCUUGACUGCGAGACCGACAAGUCGAGCAGAUACGAAAGUAGGUCAUAGUGAUCCGGUGGCUCUGCAUGGAAGGGCCAUCGCUCAACGGAUAAAAGGUACUCUGGGGAUAACAGGCUGAUACCGCCCAAGAGUUCAUAUCGACGGCGGUGUUUGGCACCUCGAUGUCGGCUCAUCUCAUCCUGGGGCUGUAGCCGGUCCCAAGGGUAUGGCUGUUCGCCAUUUAAAGAGGUACGUGAGCUGGGUUUAAAACGUCGUGAGACAGUUUUGUCCCUAUCUGCCGUGGGCGUUGGAAGAUUGACGGGGGCUGCUCCUAGUACGAGAGGACCGGAGUGGACUCACCUCUGGUGUACCGGUUGUCACGCCAGUGGCAUCGCCGGGUAGCUAUGUGGGGAAAGGAUAACCGCUGAAAGCAUCUAAGCGGGAAACCUGCCUGAAGAUAAGUCUUCCUGGAGGCUAGACCUCCCUAAAGAGUCGUUCGAGACCAGGACGU
rnacentral:rRNA from 1 species